AAAGGUGACGUUUUUUUCCCUUGGGCUUGAGCUGGGCUUUCUGGUAGAGUGCAGCCGAGGACUGUCUCAUUCACCGCCAGUCAAAACACCCUGGGACAUCCUGGGGCCCAGAGUAUCCUGCAAGGCUCAUGUGUGACCUCCUGGGAAGCAGGUGGCUAUUGAGCUUGGCAGUCUCUCCCCAGGAUGCGGCAGAGGGGCUCACCUUGGUGCGCCAAGAAGAGCAGCUGAGCUGUGCUGAGUUGGGUCUGUCUCCAUCCAGUAUUUGUGGUAACCACAGGCUUCGGGAUAGUCUGCUUCUACCUGGGCACAGCUGUGGAAACUUCCUCGGGCCUUAGAUUUUGCAUCGUUAGGGAUCCGCACCCAGGCAGGCCCAGUCCUUGACACUAUCUGAUCCAGAGAGCUGCCUUGUGGGGAUGCAGACCUUCUACAAACAGGCACACUAUGCACCAGGCACCCAGCACAGUCACCCUGGCGCUCCACUCUCAAAAACAAAAGAAGGAUGGAGACCCACUGGACACAUAAAAAAGACCAGAAAUACGAGAAAGAAGUAGGAGAACAACCAACCUCAUAGGGAAAAUAAAUAUUUCAGAAAGCAGAAGAUAAUUCCUCAAAAUAUUAACCAGUGUCUUCAGAGGAAUGAAGGUCUGAGGCCUAUAAUGAAAAGGAAAUAAAUAAAUAAAUAAAUAAA
rnacentral:lncRNA from 1 species